rnacentral:rRNA from 1 species
UACGUAGGGUGCAAGCGUUAAUCGGAAUUACUGGGCGUAAAGGGCUCGUAGGUGGCCAACUAAGUCAGACGUGAAAUCCCUCGGCUUAACCGGGGAACUGCGUCUGAUACUGGAUGGCUUGAGUGUGGGAGAGGGAUGGCGGAAUUCCAGGUGUAGCGGUGAAAUGCGUAGAUAUGCGGAGGAACACCGAUGGCGAAGGCAAUCCCCUGGGCCUGCACUGACGCUCAUGCACGAAAGCGUGGGGAGCAAACAGG